AUUUAAAAGACGUGUAGAUGUGGCACUUAGGGACAUGGUUUAGUGGUGGACUUGGCGGUGUUAGAUUUACAGUUGGACUUGAUGAUCUUGAAGGUCUUUUCCAACCUAAACGAUUCUAUGAUUCUAAAUAACUGCCCCAACCAUUAAUUUUUAUAGGCUGCUGAGUGGCAGCAUUUCAUGCUGGGCACAACCAGCAGUGGAGAUGAAAGCACGAAGCCAAAUAGACAUCACAGAGCCAGUAGAAGUGCUAUUUAUUAAAGAAAUGCCUGGAUUGCAGAGGAAGCAGAAAGGUGCAUCUUGAAAGGAACCUUUAACACCUGUGAGUGAAAAGCAACAAGGACUGGGAAGCAAGGGGAGCUGCCAGAGGCAACAGCUAAUGGACCUGAUCCUGGGGUGAGCUGGCAGAAGGGAGCACGUGGCUGGGAGACAGAGGAGGCGAUACCAUGGCCAAUCUGAGGUGUGUCCAGACCCCCUACAUUCAAACUCUUCCAGCUGAGCCUGCAGGUGAUGUCAUGGUACAUAGAGUAUUUCUGCACAGACCGCCGGCCCUAGUGUGUGCUGAGCAGCCUCUCCCAGGAUGGGCACCCUGGUGCCAAAGCUCUUGUUAUCAAUUCAGACUGGUGUCCCGUGUUGUUGAGACAUGGCCAGUGAGCAAAGGCAUUCCCUCCCUUAAAGAGUUGGCUGCAGUGCAGCUUUCCAAUCUGCAUACUCCAGUCUUGUCCAGGAAGGAAAAGGACUGGAAAGAAGGAAAGCCGGUGUCUUUGCAUCUGUCCUUAUCCUUGUGCUGAAACCUGACUGCCAAGAACUUGUCACUAAGAUGUUUCCUACAGUGACAUACUUCAUGCUGGGCUCUUCCAACGUAGCACUGGUCACACUGUGGGAGUGCUCCAGCUGUUUCGUUCUGCUGCUCAGCUGAGGAAGACAUGUUCUCCUGCUAGUGCCCAAGGACAUGCUCCCAAGGGAAGGGAGCUGCACUGCAAUAUUGCGGCUGGUGCAUCCGUGGCAGUCUCUGGGGCCAGGGCAGAGCCAUCCCUAGCACUCCCCUCCACAGGGUCAGCUGGGAGCGGCCAGGGCCAGCUGUCUGCAUCCAGGCCACAGGCUGCUGGGAAAGGAGUCUGACAGUUUGCUGCUAGCCUAUUCGCGGGGCUCCUGGGGGCUGAUGUGGUCACAAGAUGCCCUAUCCCAAACCAGUGGUUCAGUGCUCAGAGGCAGAAGCAAUUUUACAUAAAGUUCAAUUAAAUAUUUGCUUUAUAAUUGCGCAACAAAUUAUUCAUAAAGGCAUUGGAAUCUAAUCACAA